rnacentral:rRNA from 1 species
AGAGUUUGAUCCUGGCUCAGGAUGAACGCUAGCUACAGGCUUAACACAUGCAAGUCGAGGGGAAACGACAUCGAAAGCUUGCUUUUGAUGGGCGUCGACCGGCGCACGGGUGAGUAACGCGUAUCCAACCUGCCCACCACUUGGGGACAACCUUGCGAAAGUAAGACUAAUACCCAAUGACGUCUCUAGAAGACAUCUGAAAGAGAUUAAAGAUUUAUCGGUGAUGGAUGGGGAUGCGUCUGAUUAGCUUGUUGGCGGGGUAACGGCCCACAAGGCGACGAUCAGUAGGGGUUCUGAGAGGAAGGUCCCCCANAUUGGACUGAGACACGGUACCAAACUCCGUACGGGAGGCA